rnacentral:rRNA from 1 species
UGCAGUCGAGCGGUAACAGGGGUAGCUUGCUACCCGCUGACGAGCGGCGGACGGGUGAGUAAUGCAUGGGUAUCUGCCCGGUAGUGGGGGAUAACUCGGGGAAACCCGAGCUAAUACCGCAUACGUCCUACGGGAGAAAGCAGGGGAUCUUCGGACCUUGCGCUAUCGGAUGAGCCCAUGUCGGAUUAGCUUGUUGGUGAGGUAACGGCUCACCAAGGCAACGAUCCGUAGCUGGUCUGAGAGGAUGAUCAGCCACACCGGGACUGAGACACGGCCCGGACUCCUACGGGAGGCAGCAGUGGGGAAUAUUGGACAAUGGGGGAAACCCUGAUCCACCCUUGCCAGUGUGGGAAGAAGGCCUUCGGGUUGUAA